AAUGGAGCAGGGGGAUGUAGGGCUGGGACCCAGGUCCACGGAGACACCAGCCCAAAGAGCCCAGGGAGGUCGGGCUUGGGUCAGCAGGAGGGGAGAGCAGAGUCUGCAGCAGGAAGCCCGAGGAGUCACCAGCCCAAAGUCACCCAGGGAUGACUGGUGAGGGUGGGGCCUGGGGCUGGGGGACCCAGGUCCUUGGAGAGCGUUUCUCACCUCUGGAGGACUCAGCAUUCAAGGUGCCAUCUUGGAAGCAGAGAGCAGCCCUCACUAGACUACAAACCUGCUGGCGCUUUGAUCUUGGACUUCCCACCCACCAGAACUGUGAGAAAUACAUUUUUG
rnacentral:lncRNA from 10 species